UGUUUGUUUUGUUUCUAGUACUAGAAAUAUUUUAGAAAGAACCAUGCAGAGCUCUGAAAGGCUAUUAUGUGAGACACUGGUUUUCUGUCUCCCCCUAAACCCCAACUGAUGCCCCCUUUUACCCUCUCCCUUUCUCUGUCCAUGUACUUGGAGUAGGCCUCACUGUUGACCACAGGAUGGAGCAACUGCCACAGGCCUAAGUCAAUCAGAGUACAGCGUUCCCUUGGCUGUAAUUACUGAUCAUAAUCAAAUGACUUAACCAGAUCCGAUCUCAGAUCUCAGAACCUAUACAGGAAUUGCCAGAAAAGCAGCUUGAUGAUUUGGGAGUUGAGAGGAUGCGAGGCUGAAACCAUUGCUACUGCCUUGUCUAGAGAGCCUUGGAGACACCAAGUGCUAAUGAAUGUGAAUCUAGUUUAUGUUAAAUCAUUCAGACUCCAAGACUUUACCUUUCAUUCAAGCCAGUUGAGGUUGGGUUUUCUUUCACUUGCAACUAAAAAUCUAACGAUAAUAUCUUUGUUUAAAUAAGACUGAUUAAAGUGACAUCAGCAAAUAUGGCGUCCAGGAAACCCACAAGCCCAUUGCUCCAGACAAACUGGCCUAAACUAUGAGAAUCAAUUUUACUCGAAGUCUGGAAACUGAUUAAAAGUGUACAGUGAACAGGCAAACAUACAAUAAUUUUAAAAAUCCUUAAAUGUUGGUAAGAGAGCUUUGUAGCAUUUGAACUUACUUUGGUCCCAUCCCCUGCUUCUCAGCUCAGCAGCAGCCGUGAAGACUGCAUUCCCACCAUGGGUUCCCAGUGCCCGAGGGAUUUAUUCUCAAAGAACUGUGGUUGUCUCUUUCAACCCACCUGGUGACUCCUUGAAGGAUCCCCUCAAAGAGUCUGCAUUUAGUUUGCCCAACUCUAUUAGGGCUGAGGAUUGGGGGGAAAGGAGAAGUCUGUUGAAAACAUUUAAAGGCAAAUGUAUUCACCUCCAAUGCAUGGGGCAAGGAAUGGUAGUUUGGUUCAAACAAUAUACAAACCAAGAGCUUGGGAGAAAAGGCUGGGGAAUGAAAUGGUGGUGGAUUAGGGGCUUUGAAAAACUCUCACAUACUCCCAGGAACUGAGAAGUCCACGCACUUGCCCAGGGCAAUACACAUUUAGAAAAGACCUGUAAGGCCCUAAGCUCUCAUCUCUAGCCGACUCUGCACAAACAGGAAGAGAAGGCCAAGAUAAAGUUGUAACAGCCUGACUGAGUGUGAAGGCAUUCUGGAAUUGGGUAGUGGUGAUGUCUAAUUGCACAAUGUACUAAAUGUACUAAAAGUCAGUGAACUGUACACUUUAAAAUGAUGAAUUUUACGUUAAGUGAGUUUUAUCUCAAUUAUAAAAGAGAAAUUUCAGGAGGCUUUGGAAAAAGAAGAGAGGAAGAAAAGAAAAAGAGUCUGAAGAGAGGAAAAACUAGCAGACAACCCAGCACCUUAGACGAACUGCCUAGAAAAAAAAAUCUCUGGCUUGUACUGGGGACCCUUCCUCCCUACAGUCUCCACCCCCAGACGAUGUUCCCGACGUCUCAUUGGCCGCAGAACUGGAAGAGGAUGAAGUGGGUGCGUCUUUCCUGGUGUGUCGGAUAAGAUGUGCGCGCAAGGAGGCACUGUACUGAAACUGUUUUUUACACAACUACAAAAAAGUAAAUAAAAUUCUGUCUAAAUGUAAUUCCAUAACAAAUGUUAAAUGAAACUUGACUAUUUCAAUUUCCCAUUUCGUUACAAUUAUAUAAAUCAAUAAACACACACAUUAUAUAAGA